rfam:Aedes albopictus isolate Foshan contig64099, whole genome shotgun sequence.
UAAUCGGUCCUUUUCAGGACCACCGAAAAUGAUUCCUUGAGAAUAAU